rnacentral:sRNA from 1 species
GUGUCGAGCACCGUCACUUCCAGCGUCGUGCUCUUCGUGAUCGAAGCUUCGCCCGGCUCCAGAUAGAUCUGAACGCCGUAGCGGUCGGAAAA